AUUGAACGCUGGCGGCAGGCCUAACACAUGCAAGUCGAACGAGUGGCGGACGGGUGAGUAAUGUCUGGGAAACUGCCCGAUGGAGGGGGAUAACUACUGGAAAAGGUAGCUAAUACCGCAUACCAUCGGAUGUGCCCAGAUGGGAUUAGCUAGUAGGUGGGGUAACGGCUCACCUCGGCGACGACCCCUAGCUGGUCUGAGAGGAUGACGAGCCACACUGGAACGGGGACACGGCCAAGACUCCUACGGGAGGCAGCAGUGGGGAAUAUUGCACAAUGGGCGCAAGCCUGAUGAAGCCAUGCCGCGUGUAUGAAGAAGGCCUUAGGGUUGUAAAGUACUUUCAGCGAGGAGGCGUUACUCGCAGAAGAAGCACCGGCUAACUCCGUGCCAGCAGCCGCGGUAAUAC
rnacentral:rRNA from 1 species